GACGUAGGGCGCGAGCGUUGUUCGGAUUCAUUGGGCGUAAAGGGUGCGUAGGCGGCGCGGUAAGUCGGGUGUGAAAUCUCGGGGCUUAACUCCGAAACUGCAUUCGAUACUGCCGUGCUUGAGGACUGGAGAGGAGACUGGAAUUUACGGUGUAGCGGUGAAAUGCGUAGAUAUCUGGAGGAACACCGGUGGCGAAGGCGGCAUCCUGGACCGGCAUUGACGCUGAUGAGCGAAAGCCAGGGGAGCAAACGGG
rnacentral:rRNA from 1 species